rnacentral:misc_RNA from 1 species
ACACCCCUCAAGCCUGGCUUGGUAUUGGGCGUCGGGACUUCCCCGCGCCCCGAUUUCGCCGGCUGGACGACCCCGAUCUCUCAAGCGUUGUACAAUCUCGCUGGUAGGACGGGCGGCCACGCCGUUAAACCCUUAAUCAAAG